AUUGAACGCUGGCGGUAGGCCUAACACAUGCAAGUCGAACGCGAAAGUCCUUCGGGAUGAGUAGAGUGGCGGACGGGUGAGUAACGCGUAGGAAUCUAUCCUGUAGUGGGGGAUAACGUUUCGAAAGGAACGCUAAUACCGCAUACGCCCCAAGGGGGAAAGCGGGGGAUCUUCGGACCUCGUGCUAUAGGAGGAGCCUGCGUCGGAUUAGCUAGUUGGUGAGGUAAAGGCUCACCAAGGCGACGAUCCGUAGCUGGUCUGAGAGGAUGAUCAGCCACACCGGAACUGAGACACGGUCCGGACUCCUACGGGAGGCAGCAGUGGGGAAUAUUGCGCAAUGGGCGAAAGCCUGACGCAGCCAUACCGCGUGUGUGAAGAAGGCC
rnacentral:rRNA from 1 species